AUACCCAUCUACCUACUGAGAGACAUCCAAACAGAGACAUCAACAUGGAAACCUCCGCAGAGAUAACCAGAUCUCCAUAUGCAAACUCAUGCAAAAAGAAACCUAAAGAGACAGGUGCCCAGAAGAAGAGGGAUUUCCAGACAGAUGCUUGGCUGACAUUGCUCUCAGUGGUGUGAAAGGACAUUUACCCAGAUUCUACAGCUAUUUUGAUAGAUUUUAUUGCACUCAACAAAACUGCAAUGAAACUACGAAAAUACAAAAGCAAUUUCGAACUCCAGAGAGUGCUAUAAAACAUUGAGGAAGAGAGUAUGGUUUAUGUUAAUUACAGAGGACUAAAGAGAUGUAGAAUGAGAGCGCUGAAAAAGCUUCCACUACCAGUGGCUCUUAGAGUGUAAACAGUCCAACAGGCAGCAAGCUGCCUUCUAGCAGAAUCCUUGUGAUCCCAAAACCCACAUGGCUGGGGCCUCUCUCUAGUCCUUUCUACAGUAAUUAAUGUUUAAAUGAUCACCCUAAAGCCCUGUCAAGUACUGAAGCAAGAUUUUGAAAAAUAAAAAACCUCAUAAAGCACGAAAUACAACAAAA